CUUCCCAGUGCAUUCCUUUUCCAGAGAGCCCAUUGCACUGGAGCUAUGCAUGGAAAACCCACGUGAACUCAGGGAAGGAAAUCAGUCACGACCCUGGGCACAAUCCCUCAAUAUCUGGGUAAACUGGAGCCCAAUCCAAUCCACACCUCCUGCAUCCCCACCACCCUGAAAAACUGCACUUCCCCACGUCUUGGAGAUGUAUUUUUCCAUGGGAUUUCUUUCAGGGGUUGCCACCACAACCGAGUGGGAAGAAAACCAGAAGGGUCCUAAAUAUUUUCCUCCAGGAAUGAAUGAGCACAAUGGUCCACACGAACUGAAAAACAAAAACCCCCAGAAGAUUAUAAUCUUUUUUUACCAUCAAAGCCUGCAGGAGCAGCGUGAAAGGGAAGGACUUGCCUGAUCAAAUCGAAAUAAUUUCUUCCGUGAAGAAAUUCCUGCUGAUGUUCCACCUGAACCUCCCCUGGCACAGCCUGAGGCCAUUUCCCCUUGUCCUGUCUUUGGAAAACCUUGGCUGGAGAGAAGGGCUGAGGAGAAACUGCCAAAACUCCGGGUUAAUUACGGCUCUUAGAUCUCGUCAUUUCCACCUUUUUCCUGGAUGUUCUUUCACUAUGUGUAUGUUGGGAAUACGUGAGACACGUUUUAUAUCGGUUAUGUACACAUGUGUAUGUAUAAAAUAUAUAACUAUAUGAAAUAUGCCUAUA